rnacentral:rRNA from 1 species
AAAUUGAAGAGUUUGAUCAUGGCUCAGAUUGAACGCUGGCGGCAGGCCUAACACAUGCAAGUCGAACGGUAACAGGAAGCAGCUUGCUGCUUCGCUGACGAGUGGCGGACGGGUGAGUAAUGUCUGGGAAACUGCCUGAUGGAGGGGGAUAACUACUGGAAACGGUGGCUAAUACCGCAUAACGUCGCAAGACCAAAGAGGGGGACCUUCGGGCCUCUUGCCAUCAGAUGUGCCCAGAUGGGAUUAGCUGGUUGGUGAGGUAACGGCUCACCAAGGCGACGAUCCCUAGCUGGUCUGAGAGGAUGACCAGCCACACUG